AUUCAGCUGACGAGUGUCAAAUAGGACAGAACACGCGUCCUGGAU
rnacentral:hammerhead_ribozyme from 1 species